CGGCUGACUGGGUGGGAUGCGCUCAUAGUCUUGUGCCCCGGAGGGGCUUCUGCGCCCACAGCAGCCCAGAGCAACCGGGUUGUCUUAUGUUGGCCUGCGUGUUCCCUCCCUGUCCUCCCCAGCGAACCGGUGGCAUUACAGAAUCAGUAUGGAGAUGACCUGAAAAGCUGAGAGUGGACCUACAGUAUGACCCAGCUGUCCCACUCCUGGAUACACAUACCUGAAGGAUUCUGUGUCGACACACCACAGGGAAACUUGAAUGCUCAUGUUUAUUGUUGCACUAUUCACUGUAGCUAAAAAGUGGAACCAGCUUACACGU